ensembl:lncRNA
GCAAAGGGAGUGAUUCUGAGGGGACAGGAGAGGGGGAGGAGAGCAAAGGGAGUGAUUCUGAGGCAAGCCUAGAGGAAGAGGGAGAGGAGAAAAGUGAAGAGAGUGAUGGGGAAGGAGAGGAGGGAGAGAGUGGUUCUGGGACAAGUGGAGAGGGGGAAGAGGAGGAUAAGAGUGAAGAAGAGUCCACUGAUGAAGAGAGUGGGGAUGAAAACAAAGAGGACAAGGAGGAGGGUGGUGAUGAAUCAGGAAGUGAGGCUGAGAGCAAGAGUGAGGGAUCAGCAGAAGAGGAGGAAGAUGAACAAGCAGAAGAAGCAGAGAGUGAAGAAAGUAAAGCUACUGAGUCAGGAGAGGAGGAAGGAGAGGGAGAGAGUGGAACAGAUGAGGAAGGAGAGGGAGAGGAUAAGGAAGGUUGUGAAAGUGAAGAAGAGGAGGAGGAGGCAAGUGUAAGUGAGGAGGAGGGAGAAGAGGAUGACGAUGAGGAAAAUGGAGCAGAAAGUGGAGAAGGUGAGGGCAAUGUAGGAGAAGAGGAAGAGGAAGCGGUUGAGGGUGAGGAAGAAGAGGAUGAAAAUGAAGGUGAAGAGGAGAACGGUGAAGUCGAAGAGGGUGAGGAGGAAGAGGAGGGAGGAGAGGAAGAUGAGGAAGAGGAGGAAGAUGCUAGUGGAGAGGAGGAACUUGAAGAUGAAAAAUAUGGUGAAAAACAGGAAGAUGAGAAAGAGGAAAUAGAAGUGAGAGAGGAGGAAGCGAACAAACAAGAAGAGGAAAGGGAGAAGCAAGAGGAGGAAGAGGAGGAAGAAGAAAAAGAUAGACAGGAAGUAGGUGGAAAAGACACAGAGGGAGAGGAGGGUGGAAAAAGGGGGGAGGAGAAGGGAGAUGAAAAAGAAUGGAAAGAAAAUAAAGAAAUUGAUGGUGAAUUAGAAGAAGAAGCUGCAGGGGAACAGAAAGGGGAGAUGGAGGUGGAGGAAACAGGAGAGGAAGAAGAUGAAGAGGAAGGAGAAGAAGAGGAGGAAGAAAGAUAUAUUAAAGAAGAACAAGUUGAGGAAGAAGAGGAUGAGAAAGAUAGUAAAGAAGGAGAAGAGGGGGAGGAGGAAGAAGAUGAGGAGGGAGAGGAAGAGGAGGAAGAACAGGAAGAAGAGGAGGAAGAGAUAAAACCUGCAAAGGGGAAAAAGAAAGGCUCACAAAGCGUACCACCUAAAGCAACUCCCCCCAGCAGGAAAGGGAUUGAAGAUCCCCCGAGGGAGAAACCCAAACCAGCAGCCCGUACCAAACAGAGGACCACAGGGGGAAAACAGGCCAAAAGUACCCAAGAAUCCCAACAGUUCUGGAAUAAUGUCUUACCCCAGUACCUGGAGCUGAAGUGAGACAUUCUGGACCUCAAUGGUUCCAAAUCCUUUAUGGGUCCGAGCCCAAACCUGCCUGAUUACAGUGGCUGGAACGAUUCUGGACCUGAGAAACCUGAGUCAUAAGACAAACACAGUACAGGUGUUUGAGAACCUCUGUGUGGAUGUUUGCUUGUACUUUCUAUUAUGUCACUUAUCCAUAGUUGUGACCCCCCCCCACACACAAAAAAAAUUAGAUGUAUUUAUGUAUUGAGGAAAAAAUUGCACAAACUGUAUCUUUUUAUUCUCAUGAAUACAUAGUUUGUUCUUGUGCACCUAAUAUUGAAUGCCUUGACCUGACUGUUGUAAAAAUGUGAUACAGUAUAUGACCUUUGGCAUAGAUCAUGAGGUAUUAGAGGUAACAUCUUGUCAUUUAGCCUGCCUGACACAAACAGGGCCAAGCAGAUGUCAAUAGUAUUUCUUAGAUAUAUUUAUUUCUUAAAUAUCAUCUCAUGUGUAGUUCAUUGCCAAAACAUCUUUACAAACAACAUUGCUCCAUAUUUUAAAUACAGGCACUCAUACAGCCUGUCCCUGUGAAAAAUCUAUUUGAUUUAAUCAAUACCUAUGCAUAUAAUUUACACAGUAUGUGUGCUGUAAUGUAUUGUAAGGUAAUUCACUGAGUGUACUCAUACACAAAUUAACUGAAUUGUAAUAUGUAAAUAUUUUUCAUAAAAUAAAGAGCAAUUUAGAUAACUUCAUAGGACUCAUGAGUUAGGAUUAAAAAUGUAUUCUUUAAAGAAUCCACUGUGUGAUGUAAUCUAGGAAAAUAUAUAGUGUAGUAAAAUAAAUAAAAUACAGUAAAAUAUAUAUAGUAAGAUAUUUAAAUAUAU